UGAAAAGCAGUUUUUAGGGUUUCAGAUAUGUAAUUGUGGCAGCAGGCACAGCAUCAGGAGAUCUUGCUUGGACUGCCCUUAAGUACGCUGCUCCAGAGAACUCUGCUCUACGUUGUCAGAAACCAGCUUUCAAGAUAUACUCAGAGGAGAAUCACGAGUGCCAAGAGAGACCAUGAGGCAAACUGCUCUCCAUUGAAGGUAUACCAGCCUACCCUUCGUGAGCUAAACACAACCUCACUCUUGCCAGCAUUGUAACUGACUUUUUAAACCUAGUAAUCUGCAUUUCUUUGAUGCCUUGAAGUCAGUAUUAUUUUCAUGUCUUGGCCAUCUUAAGUUCCUGUUUUGUGAAUAUUCUAUUCCUAUUCCCUGUUAUAAAGGUUUUCAAAGAGUUAAGACAUGUUAAAUAGAAAUUAUUUUGGAAGGUUCUGUGAUUCAAAAUAUCAAAGAGUAUUGCUAACUAGUUGUUUCAGUGGGACCCUACAGACAGGCAGAACCCUGGGGGAAAUCACCGGAAACUAGGGAUGAGGGCUCAGCUGUAAACACCUGCAACCAUAGAACUGAGCAGACCUUCCCAGCAGACCCAUGAAUAGCCUGAAAUUGAGAUUUAUCCCAUACUGCAGGGGUGACACUUAUCCAAUGGCUAGAAUAUUUAUCACUGCUACUCAGAGCACUCUCACUUCAUGAUAUCAGCAUGCCUGGGGA
rnacentral:lncRNA from 1 species